CACGUAGGGUGCGAGCGUUGUUCGGAAUUACUGGGCGUAAAGGGCUCGUAGGCGGCCAACUAAGUCAGACGUGAAAUCCCUCGGCUUAACCGGGGAACUGCGUCUGAUACUGGAUGGCUUGAGUUCGGGAGAGGGAUGCGGAAUUCCAGGUGUAGCGGUGAAAUGCGUAGAUAUCUGGAGGAACACCGGUGGCGAAGGCGGCAUCCUGGACCGACACUGACGCUGAGGAGCGAAAGCCAGGGGAGCAAAGCGGG
rnacentral:rRNA from 1 species